rnacentral:tRNA from 1 species
GUAUCAAUAGCUCAGUGGUCAGAACGUUGGCACGGUACGCCAGAGGCCCUGGCUUCGAGUCCUGGUUGAGACU